AGUGAACGCUGGCGGUAGGCCUAACACAUGCAAGUCGAACGGCAGCACAGUAAGAGCUUGCUCUUACGGGUGGCGAGUGGCGGACGGGUGAGGAAUACAUCGGAAUCUACUUUUUCGUGGGGGAUAACGUAGGGAAACUUACGCUAAUACCGCAUACGACCUACGGGUGAAAGCAGGGGAUCUUCGGACCUUGCGCGAUUGAAUGAGCCGAUGUCGGAUUAGCUAGUUGGCGGGGUAAAGGCCCACCAAGGCGACGAUCCGUAGCUGGUCUGAGAGGAUGAUCAGCCACACUGGAACUGAGACACGGUCCAGACUCCUACGGGAGGCAGCAGUGGGGAAUAUUGGACAAUGGGCGAAAGCCUGAUCCAGCCAUACCGCGUGGGUGAAGAAGGCCUUCGGGUUGUAAAGCCCUGUUGUUGGGAAAGAAAAGCAGCAGGUUAAUACCCCGAUGUUCUGACGGUACCCAAAGAAUAAGCACCGGCUAACUUCGUG
rnacentral:rRNA from 1 species